CAAGAUUAGCUUCUCCGGUUCCAACUCUGUUUCAAGAUUCUGCUGUUGGCUUCCAUGGUAGCAAAGGCAAACGAUCUAAGCGGUCAAGAUCCGAGUUCGACCGCAGUCUCACUGAGGAUGAGUAUAUCGCUUUGUGUCUCAUGCUUCUUGCUCGCGACGGGAAUCGAACCCGCCACCUGCCUUCUUCUUCUUCCUCGCCGCCUCUGCUUCCUACUCUUACUUCUACUCAUCUCCACAAGUGCAGCGUCUGCGACAAGGCGUUUUCUUCUUACCAGGCUCUCGGUGGGCACAAGGCGAGUCACCGGAAAAACUCAUCGCAGACUCAGUCUAGCGGAGGAGAUGAGAAAUCCACGUCGUCGGCGAUAACCAUCGCGAGCCACGGCGGCGGCGGAGGAGGAAGUGUGAAAUCUCACGUUUGCUCGAUCUGCAACAAGUCUUUCGCGACAGGUCAAGCGCUCGGGGGCCACAAACGGUGCCACUACGAAGGCAAGAACGGGAGCAGCAGCGAAGGUGUGGGGUCCACAAGCCACGUCAGCAGCGGCAGCCAUCACCACCACCGUGGGUUUGACCUCAACAUCCCGCCGAUACCGGAAUUCUCGACGGUCAACGGAGAAGAAGAGGUGAUGAGCCCCAUGCCGACCAAGAAACUGAGGCUCGAGUAGAACUUAUAAAGGAGUUACAGAUUCAGCUAGCAGUUACAUGAAUUUGUUAUACUGUACAUAAUACCAAUUUUUAGAUUCCACUUCUUGUUAUUCUUCAUUGAAUCAGUAGUAUUCCUUCUUGUAAUAUUUUUGUGUAGUUUUCUUGUCUUCUUUACCUAAAGUUAUCGUUUAAAGAAAAACGACCUUGUUAAAACUAUUCAAGUACGUUUCAGUUUCUAAAGAACAUAGAUUACAACCUUAUUGGUUCGUUGGACUAGUGUCGUGGGGUGGUAAGACCUAACGUACAAAGUCUCAGCCCAUUUAACUGAUAACAUGUUAAGAGAUUCGUUUGAAGUAGAUAAUGGGUACUAAUUACGUACUGUCUGAUGUUUCUAUGCAGAACAUGACUUCAAUUUUAUUUUAUACAAUACAAAAACGAAAGAUUACCUGCAGCAUUCAAUGGUCUUAUAACAACAUCCACAUUAUUCUUUUUAGACUUUCCAUAGCUAUAUGACUAUAUCUGACACAGAGAGCAUACCUUUUUAAGGUAACAAGUGAGUUCGCAAACUGUUGUCUUUCCAACUCCCUGGAGCCCAGCCACGUGACUUAGAAAACUGUAGCUGAGAUGUUUCUCCACCCAUCAAAUUCACAAGCUUAUCAUCAUGCACAACAUGCAAUAAAAAACCAUAAUACUCCCAACACUUUCGAGACUAAAAUGAUCAUCCCAGAAUGAAGUCAACCAAUAAAUAGUAUAUUAUUUAUUCAUCGGCAGUUUUACAAAUCACUUCUUUUAUAUUAUUUAUUUGUUUGCUUCUUUAUGAAACUUUCAAUGGAUAAGGAUUCUAGAAACAUCCCUAUCAUGGUCCUGGGGUUGAUCAUUCUCCUGAACCACAGCUUCCUUGGGGAUCACAUGUGCUCCCCAUAAGAGUUUAACAUUUUGGCCAUUGAUAACAACCCAUGAAGAGUGCUCUAACAUGGCCUUCUCCGCCCCUUCUCGGGUCGUGUAUGUGAGAAACGCACCGUCAACACCUCUCAUUGCAAAAUAGACGAUAGAUUUGAUUUCUCCAUAAGGGUUGAAACGGUCACGUAUGUGCUGCUCGUGGACACUAGAGUUGAGGCGACGGAGGUAGAGCGUUUUAAGUGUUUGAUCCAAGGGUGGAUCAACAGGGCCCAUGUAAACAUUUCUAGCCAGUAACUCGACGGUUUUUGGAUUGUCUAAACUGCCAACAACCAGAAAUUCACAUAAUAAAAGUGUUUGAGAAAGGCAACAAAGAGAGUGAGAGAUAGAGGUUACCCAGUUCUACUAUCAAAAACUCUGGGAACUUUAUGUGCGAAUGGACAUGUGGCACCAGCCAUACACGUACGACCCGAUUUAAAGAAACCGCAAACUAAUGGAUGGCCAUCAAAACGUCCAAGUUGGCUCUACAUAGAUCAGAUACAAAAAAAAAACAUGAAAAUCAUACAGACUAUUCGAAGCAGCCAUUAUAUGUUAGAAAAAUUCGUAUCCAAACACAAAAGUUCCUCACAAAUUUCCAAACCCUAAACAUAGACUAUUAACACAGAAAACAUCAACAACGAGAAGAGGUGAUAUCCACGAAAAUUCAUUGCCUUUGGACGACGAUCUAUAGGGUUUCUCUGAUCCAUUCUCUUCUACUCCAAUGGCGAUAAACGCGGCUACUUCUCUUUGGAUGAACAGAGGCAAGGGCUAUAUUUAUGCCGGACGUUUCGUUUUAUAAAGAGAAAAAGAUGAAUAUGGUAGGAAAAAAUGAGUUAAAACAAACUUACGGGCCUGUUUGGUGGGCUAGUAUGAUCUAACCUACACGUUUCCCCCAUUUAGUUGAUCAUUAUAAUUGUAUACAUUAUUAUUAUCAAACAAAAGCACCCUUGUUUUUUUUGAACAAAACACCAUCGUUUUUCACGAGCCAUUCAUUCGACAACAUGACAAAUAUAUUGACCUACCUUAUAAUUUGAGAUCUGUCCAAGUGCAUACAUUAUUAUGUAUAUACGUCCAUAUGGUAAAAUUGGGCUCAAUUCCUUGGCAAAAAAAAAAUGGGCUCAAUUAAGAUUAUUGGUUGGUUUGGUUUAUCCUUUUUUGUUGACCAUCAUGUUGUCCCAAAUCAGCUCUUGAUGUGCUCUUCAUUGAUCAGUAUUCUUUCUUGUAUAGGGUAUUUUUCUUGUUUUCUUUAAUUUGUAUUUAACCUAAAGUUGUGCUUCAAGAAAAAAUCCUUCCAAUGUUUCAACACCAAGAUACAUAGAAAAAGAAGAUCUCAACACAAUGGUUAGACAGUGUAAUUAUUAUUGGAAAGCUAUACUUUUAUGUCAUUUUUUUGUCAAUUUCUAUAUGUUUACGUGUUUAGCUUUUGUAAGAAUGUGUUUUUUUUGCAUCAAGGCAGAAACCUUGUCAUAAUAUCUUACUACUUGAUAAGUUUGGUGUUUUUUUGUUUUUUCUUUUGAACUUUAAUCUGUUUUGUUUGAUGUUUGGACGUCGAUGCCAACUAUCUAAAUUUUCUCUUCACUAUUUUUCUUACAUCAAAUUUUCUUUUUACUUGAAUAAAUAUUUCUAAUCGUACUAAUAUUUCUACAAAAGCACACGAUGUUAAAAGAUGGUCUCUUAAAAACAAUCCAAAUUAUAAGAUGUAUUUAAACUCCUUUUACAAAAAAAAAAAUGUAUUUAAACUCCAACAUUUAAAAUGUCACAUUACCAAACAAAAGCACCAUCGGUUUUCACGAGCCUCCCACGAUGUGAUAAAUAUGACCCACCAUCAUCCAAUUAUAUGCGUCCAAAGUGCAUACGUUAGUAUGUAUAUUGAUAUACUAAUGGAUCUCUUAAUUAUUUUUGCAUAAGAGCAUCAUUAUCCUAGAGACCCAUAAUGGAUCUCUUAAUUAUUUUUUUAUAGUAUUUAAGGAAUAAAUUUGGUCAAGAGACUUUGUUAAGAAUUUUCAAUUUUUAUGUCCUCCAUUGCAAGUCUUGUAUUUUAGGAUUCUUAAAAAAAAAUUUGGUUAAAAGAGCUUUCAUCACACUUUCAUUACAUUCGUCUUGUGAAAACCAUCUUUUCCUAAAACUGAGUUCAAAAGAACAUUUCAAAUCUUGAUGCAAGUUUCUAAAGAUGGACACAAAACCAAAUCAAAAGAAGCUCUUAAACCAAUCCAAAACUGGAGCAAACCAAACAAAAAAAACGGACUGUAAAAGUCUAGCGGAGGAGAUGAGAAAUCCACGUCGUCCGCGAUAACCAUCGCUAGCCGCGGCGGCGGCGGAGGAGGAAGUGUGAAACCGCACGUUUGCUCGAUCUGCAACAAGUCUUUCGCGACAGGUCAAGCGCUCGGGGGCCACAAACGGUGCCACUACGAAGGCAAGAACGGGAGCAGCAGCGAAGUUGUGGGGUCCGCAAGCCACGUCAGCAGCGGCAGCCAUCACCACCACCGUGGGUUUGACCUCAACAUCCCGCCGAUACCGGAAUUCUCGACGGUCAACGGAGAAGAAGAGGUGAUGAGCCCCAUGCCGACCAAGAAACUGAGGCUCGAGUAGAACUUAUAAAGGAGUUACAGAUUCAGCUAGCAGUUACAUGAAUUUGUUAUACUGUACAUAAUACCAAUUUUUAGAUUUCAUUUCUUGUUAUUCUUCAUUGAAUCAGUAUUCCUUCUUGUAAUAUUUGUGUAGUUUUCUUAUCUUCUUUACCUAAAGUUGUCGUUUAAAGAAAAAGACCCUGCUAAAAC
rnacentral:lncRNA from 1 species